rnacentral:rRNA from 1 species
CCUACGGGAGGCUGCAGUGAGGAAUAUUGGUCAAUGGUCGGGAGACUGAACCAGCCAAGCCGCGUGAGGGAUGAAGGUACAGAGUAUCGUAAACCUCUUUUGUCAGGGAACAAAGGCGGGGACGUGUCCCCGGAUGCGUGUACCUGAAGAACAAGCAUCGGCUAACUCCGUGCCAGCAGCCGCGGUAAUACGGAGGAUGCGAGCGUUACCCGGAUUUAUUGGGUUUAAAGGGUGCGAAGGCGGUCUGUUAGGUCAGCGGUCAAAGCCCGGGGCUCAACCCCGGCCCGCCGUUGAAACUGGCAGUCUCGAGUUGGAGAGAAGUAGGCGGAAUGCGCGGUGUAGCGGUGAAAUGCAUAGAUAUCGCGCAGAACUCCGAUUGCGAAGGCAGCAUGCCGGCUCCACACUGACGCUGAGGCACGAAAGCGUGGGUAUCGAACAGGAUUAGAUACCCCAGUAGUC